rnacentral:rRNA from 1 species
GCCCAGACUCCUACGGGAGGCAGCAGUGAGGAAUAUUGGUCAAUGGGCGGAAGCCUGAACCAGCCAAGUCGCGUGAGGGAAGACUGCCCUAUGGGUUGUAAACCUCUUUUGUCAGGGAGCAAUUGGCGCUACGUGUAGCGUUAUCGAGAGUACCUGAAGAAAAAGCAUCGGCUAACUCCGUGCCAGCAGCCGCGGUAAUACGGAGGAUGCGAGCGUUAUCCGGAUUUAUUGGGUUUAAAGGGUGCGCAGGCGGCACGGCAAGCCGGCGGUCAAAUCGCGGGGCUCAACCCCGCCCAGCCGUCGGAACUGACGGUCUUGAGUGGGCGAGAAGUAUGCGGAAUGCGUGGUGUAGCGGUGAAAUGCAUAGAUAUCACGCAGAACUCCGAUUGCGAAGGCAGUAUACCGGCGCCCAACUGACGCUGAAGCACGAAAGCGUGGGUAUCGAACAGGAUUAGAUACCCCAGUA